GUGCUCACUUUAGCAACUUAUGUAAUCAGACUGGAAGGAUACAGAGAUGAGCAUGGUCUUUGGGCAAAGGGCCCAUGCAUUCAUGAAGCAUCCCAUAUUUUU
rnacentral:snRNA from 1 species